GAGUUUGAUCGUGGCUCAGAUUGAACGCUGGCGGCAUGCCUUACACAUGCAAGUCGAACGGCAGCAUGAUCUAGCUUGCUAGAUUGAUGGCGAGUGGCGAACGGGUGAGUAAUACAUCGGAACGUGCCCUGUAGUGGGGGAUAACUAGUCGAAAGAUUAGCUAAUACCGCAUACGACCUGAGGGUGAAAGUGGGGGACCGCAAGGCCUCAUGCUAUAGGAGCGGCCGAUGUCUGAUUAGCUAGUUGGUGGGGUAAAGGCCCACCAAGGCGACGAUCAGUAGCUGGUCUGAGAGGACGAUCAGCCACACUGGGGCUGAGACACGGCCCAGACUCCUACGGGAGGCAGCAGUGGGGAAUUUUGGACAAUGGGCGAAAGCCUGAUCCAGCAAUGCCGCGUGUGUGAAGAAGGCCUUC
rnacentral:rRNA from 1 species